CAGGACGAACGCUGGCGGCGUGCCUAACACAUGCAAGUCGAGCGAUGAAAUCCUCGGGAUGGAUUAGCGGCGGACGGGUGAGUAACACGUGGGUAACCUGCCUUGUAGAGGGGGAUAGCCUUCCGAAAGGAAGAUUAAUACCGCAUAACAUCUUUUUAUCGCAUGGUAGAAAGAUCAAAGGAGUAAUCCGCUACAAGAUGGACCCGCGGCGCAUUAGCUAGUUGGUGAGGUAACGGCUCACCAAGGCGACGAUGCGUAGCCGACCUGAGAGGGUGAUCGGCCACAUUGGAACUGAGACACGGUCCAGACUCCUACGGGAGGCAGCAGUGGGGAAUAUUGCGCAAUGGGGGGAAAAACCCCUGACGCAGCAACGCCGCGUGAAUGAAGAAGGCCUUAGGGUUGUAAAGUUCUGUUUACGGGGACGAUAAUGACGGUACCCGUGGAGGAAGCCACGGCUAACUACGUGCCAGCAGCGGC
rnacentral:rRNA from 1 species